GACAAACUAGGCCAAAUUAAGAUAAGAACAGUAAAAAAGGGGGUUAAAAGGUUGGUAAUUUAAAAGUUAUUAUUAAGUUGAUAACAAUUUAUUAGGGGAAAAUUAUAUUUUCUAAAGAGGUGGAAUUUGCAUAGAAUAAGUAAUUUAUUGUUUCCUUUACCUUGAAGCCCCGAAAUCUUGAUUAAAGACCGGGAUUAGAUACCCCGUUAUUCGAGAUGUAAAUCUUGACUUCAGAACAUUUUACUUGAGUAUUACGGGCUCUAUAAUUUAGUAUUAUAGCGGUAGCCUAAAACUCAAAAAACUUGGCGGUGCCUUAAAUCCUUUCAGGGGAACCUGUCCUGUAAUUGAUAGUCCACGAUUUAUCUUUCCUAUUUUUGAAUAAAAUCAGUUUGUAUACCGUCGUCGUCAGAUUACCUCUAAGAGUAAAGAAGUUAUCAAUAAGAAAACCAUACUGUAAAUUGAUAUAGAAUAUUCAUUUAUAUUAUGUUUUCUAGACGUCAGAUCAAGGUGCAGCCAAUAAAUAGGAAGAGAUGGGUUACAAUAAGUAAUUAUUAUACGGAUUUCUUUUUGUAAAAUAAGUUUAAAGGCGGACUUGAAAGUAAUUGAAGAGAAGUAGAGAGUCUCGGUGAAGAUGGCUCUAAGGCGUGC
rnacentral:rRNA from 1 species